GAUGAAGAACGUAUCGAAAUGCGAUAAGUAAUGUGAAUUGCAGAAUUCAGUGAAUCAUCGAAUCUUUGAACGCACAUUGCGCCCGCCAGUAUUCUGGCGAGCAUGCCUGUUCGAGCGUCAUUUCAACCAUCAAGCCCCAGGCUUGUGUUGGAGCCCUGCGGCUGCCGCAGCCUCCCAAAACCAGUGGCGGGCUCGCUAUCACACCGAGUGCAGUAGUUUACUCUUCGCUCAGGGCGUGUGGCGGGUGCUAGCCGUGAAACCCCCAACUUCUCAAGGUUGACCUCGGAUCAGGUAGGAAUACCCGCUGAACUUAAGCAUAUCAAUAAGCGGAGGA
rnacentral:misc_RNA from 1 species